GACGAACGCUGGCGGCGUGCUUAACACAUGCAAGUCGAACGGAAAGGCCCUGCUUUUGUGGGGUGCUCGAGUGGCGAACGGGUGAGUAAAACGCGUGUAACCUGCCCUUGACUUUGGGAUAACUUUAGGGAACUGGGGCUCAUAUCGGAUAGGAGCUCCUGCUGCAUGGGGGGGGUUGGAAAGUUUCGGUGGUUGGGUAUGGACUAGAGGCUUAUGCGCUUGUUGGGGGGGUAGUGGAAUACCAAGGCUUUGACGGGUAGCCGGCCUGAGAGGGCGACCGGCCACAAUGCGACUGAGAUACGGCCCAGACUCCUACGUGAGGCAGCAGGGGGGAAUAUUGCGCAAUGGGCGGAAGCCUGAUGCAGCAACGCCGCGAGCGUGAUGACGGCCUUCGGGUUGUAAACCGCUUUCGCCUGUGCCGAAGCGUGAUUGACGGUAACUGGUAAAGAAGCACCGGCUAACUACGUG
rnacentral:rRNA from 1 species